rnacentral:lncRNA from 1 species
AUAACCCCUUAACUCCCAUUUUAUCUCCAAACACCUUAAAAAAUGGGUGGGGUUAGCUAAUCCCACCUCAAAUAAAUUAUUCCGGAUUAGCUAACCCCACCUAACUCCACCAAACUCCAACCAAACAAUAUUUUCUAUUCAUAAUAACCCACUAUCUUUCUUAUCACACCUACUCCAACCAAUCAUUAUCUUCUUAUCCCAUCUACUCCAACCAAACACUAUUUUUCAUUAUUCUAGACUAACUCCAACCCCCAACCAAACACAAAAAAAUUUUAACCCCACUUUAACCCUGAACUUAACUCUAUCCCUGGAAUAGCUACUUUUUCCUUAACCCCGAACCAAACGGAGGCUAAAGGGUAAACUUGAAAUAUCAUUUAUGCGGUUUUAUAUUUUUUUAUUUUAAUACUCUGUGGUUUAAAGUGUAUCAAUUUAGUGUCAUUUGAUUUCAUUUUUAUCUUUUUAUCACCUUCUUCGUCAAUAUUUUGUUAAAUUAUAUAAAAAAAAACUUCAGAUAUCCUACUUAGAUUUAUUGAAUAUUUAUUUUACUACCUUUUAAUUUUAACUUCAUCAGUGAUUUAACGAAGAAAAUUAGUAAAACCGAUAAUAAAAAUAUAAAAAUAAAACGAUAUGUCAUUAAAUUGAUAUACUUUAAAUCACAGAGUAUUAAAAUAAAAAAAAUAUAUAACCAUAGGGUGGUAUUUAAAGUUUUUUUUUAAAAAAUAAAUAUAUGUA